GCAGUAGCCACGGUAAUACGGAGGGUGCAAGCGUUAUCCGGAUUUAUUGGGUUUAAAGGGUCCGUAGGCGGAUCUGUAAGUCAGUGGUGAAAUCUCACAGCUUAACUGUGAAACUGCCAUUGAUACUGCAGGUCUUGAGUAAAUUUGAAGUGGCUGGAAUAAGUAGUGUAGCGGUGAAAUGCAUAGAUAUUACUUAGAACACCAAUUGCGAAGGCAGGUCACUAAGAUUUAACUGACGCUGAUGGACGAAAGCGUGGGGAGCGAACAGGAUUAGAUACCCGCGUAGUCCCUGUCUCUUAUAC
rnacentral:rRNA from 1 species